GUCCCUGUGUACCUGAGGCCUUCUGAAGGUGAAAAAGAAGGCUGUGUAGCCAACAUCUAAUACUCCCCAGAGCGUGUCCAGAGCUUGACAGCCUUCAAUAGGUUAAUUUUUCAAAGCGGGUAAGAAAGGAGAAGAAGUGGCUCAAAGGAUGCGGGUGAGGAGGCGGUUAUCAGUGCUGGGGUUCAGCUCAGGUCAUGCUGCUGGUGGGGACAGUGACUGGUUGGUAUUUCCCCCCCUCCAAGGAGAGCCAGAAGAGGUAAAAGCAUUUGGCCUUUGGGAAGGCAGAGGCUGUCAGAGGUGCAUUUCUCAGCUCACCAUACGUCAGUGCCUUGUCUUGAAGGGAGAGAGUGGGGUGCUUGCAGAAGUUGGGAGGAUGACUCCAAACUAGAGAAAUCUGUAUCAAAAUCCUUAUGGCCAUCACAGUGGUGUUGAGGUAUCUUCCCCUGGGUGGGAAUGUAAUCGUGGGUCCCAUGGAAACACUGAUUUGAGAUUUUUAUUGCAAACAUUGUCUACCAGGAAUGAAAGAAUGGGAACUGCAGAAGGCAUUUGCAGACCAAAGCCAGGGGAUUUCUUGUGGCUUAAUAUAAACCACAUCCUUUCUCUCACAAAAUAUGCACGUCUGCCAGGAUGACUUUCCAUCCACCUGUGCUUGUGUCACUUCAAAUUGAAACUCCUUCCCCAGAAGAGUGACUCUGCAGAUAUGUGUAUACAUAUGGGACUAUAUUUGCCUGUUUGUUUUAUGUAAUAUCUAUGCAAAAUACUUGUAGUUAUUAGGGGAAAAGCACACAGGAAGGGGUCAGCCUUUUCUGUAAGGGGAACUUAGUUUGGAUUAAGGAAAGGAGUGACCUGAAAGCAGGAUUGCUCUCCCCAAAGACCCCCCUGAUGGAUCCAGGAGUGCUGCACUGCGCUGGUGCCACAGGGAGAGGAUGGGAUGGAGGGAGCUAUGCGUGUUCCCCUCAGCAUCCCCAGCAGGGAAUGGUUCUGGCUGGGACUGGGCUGGUUUGUGUCCAGGUUACAUCAGCUCAGAGCAACCUUGGCUGUAAACAGGAAUAAACACAUCCAUGUAGUAAUUUAUGCAUAAAUUAAUUUGACUUCAGUAAUUAGCCAGAAGGAAGUUUACCCUAACCAGUAAACCUCAGUGGAUGGGGAAUUCAUUAAGCAUCUCUGCUUUGCCAAGUGCAGGGCUAGUUUUGCAAUUCAAAGAUUUCAUUUUUAAAUUGUAUUUUGUUCAGCUUUUGGGUUUAUUUUUUGGCAGGGGAAAAUCUCUCACCUCCAAACUCCAACUCAAUGCAACAGAGAAGAGUCUGCAGCACUGGGGCUAACUCCUUCUCUCAGGGCUUUGCCCAGGAGCCUCAUGGGCUGGUGGUACCCAGACAGCCUCAAAGCAGCCAUGGGCUGCUGACCCGAGCAGCUGGGUGCCCAUGAAGAUGCACUGUUUGCUGGGUGGGCUUCUGGAGAGAGCAGGAUGCUGCGCUUCCCUGCUUUGUGCUCAUCACUGUGGCCCCACAAAUCAGCACAGCCGGAGGCCAGGGAAGAUUUCUUUGAUUGCCUUUUACUUCACUCCAUUGCAUUUCUUACUCAGUUUUCUUGGCUGGAUAUAAAGCCUGGUGCUGGUGGGGUGUAUUGCCAGCAGGGAGCAAGGGGAGCUUGCAACCAGCAGGCAGCAUUGCAAUGCAGCAAGUGGCAGAAACUGAAAUGUGCUUCCGCAAGGACCACACUGAGGAAGAAGAGGGAGAAACUCAGCAAACUUUCGGGGUUAACAUCAGAUCCCACCCUCUUUUGGCUUGUGGGAGAGGGUUGUACGUGCAGGCUGCUGCCAGAAGGCAUCAGAGCACAGUGCAGCCCGGCAGCUUCACUCGGGCUGCAAGAGAGUUGGAGGUCUUCAGCCAGGCACCUCUGGUUUGCUCAGAGGACUGCCUGAUACCCACUGCCAGUUGCAUGGGGGUGAAGGAGGUUUGUGUGUAGAAUGUCUGACACCGAUACAGGUGAGGAGGGAAGCAGUGCCUGGAGGUGCUGAGGUUGGUGAAGACUCUGCAGGAGGGGAGCAGCGCCGGGAGCGGAGCCCUCCCUGCAUCACCUGCACGUUCUCAUCUCGAGAUCCGCGGGGAACGCGAAGAAGCCGCCUUAGGAUGCGGGCAAAGCGUUGGGCAUCGGGAUCUGCUCCGGGCAUCCCCAGGAAGGGGCGGGAGGAGCUGUGUGUGCAUUCCAAGGGCUGCACUGCCACCUCCAGAUGAAAGACCGCACGAUGUCUCUUUCCGUAUGAAUUUCUCAUUGCAGAAUGACGGCGCAUCGAUGUGAGAAACCGGGCGUUUCUAUGAGAUGACGGCAUUGUUUUUUUUCUGCCCUGCCAGAACAGUGCUGUCCUCCUCCUGCAUGGCCAUCUCCUCGCCUAUGAGCAUCGCAUUGCUGCGGGGCAGCUGCGUGCGGGGUUGCGUUGGCCCCGCGCACCGGGAGGUGGCACUGCAGCCGCAGCUUUGCGUGCCUAUGCACAGGUAAAGUGUGUUUUACUGGGAAAACAGUGGGAAGGAGCAAAACGUGGGAGCGUGGAGCAAGGAGGGUUUCCCUGGCACUUGUUUUCCACCUUUGUGAUGCCCUGGGAAAAGUUCUAAGCAAGCAUUUUCCUCCCCAAGUUCUACUCUGCAAAGUGUGCUCCUCAAGCAAAGCACAGAGAGAAGGGUUAUGGGUGCGUUCUACUGGCCUAAAUGGGAUAAAUAAGUAGAAAUGGACCAGGCUGAUGCUAUUGGUGAAAGUGCUGAUGUCUCCUGGAACAGCUCAGCAGUGGUUUUGAAGGCGUUGACAAAUGACACCCAGAAGUGUAGAAAAGAAGAAAACAAACAACGCAACCCCUUUUCUGCAGCUCCCCUGGGAGGAGUGCAAAAGUUGGGAGAUGCAUCAAAUUUCCAUCUCGUAUCAUUCUAACUGUUCUGGGUAAUGGGCCACAAGUCACCACUGACUUAAUGUCAAUCUCAGGGUGAAAUAUCCAGGCAAUGAGACAUGAUGGAGGAGGCUGGUGAGCCAUCACUGCACCUAUGGGCUGUCACGUUGCCAUUGAGUGCCCGCCAGCUUUUGUUGAAUGGAUGAAACUCAUCCACUUUGGCAAGCAUCCUUAAAGUAGGAUAGAACUAGGAGGGCCUGUUGGAUGCAGGAGAAAGGACCCAAGGAGAUGGGGAGCUGUCAUAGAUUCCAUUACAAAAUGGUGUGGAGAUGCCUCUGAAUCUUGGUCAUCCCCAACCUCAACCAUCCUCAAUCUCAAUCCUCAACAUUUCCAAGCAGGAAAGAAGAGCAGGAAAACU
ensembl:lncRNA